CAUUAGAUGACUGAAAGCAAGUAAUGAACUCUUAAUUCAUAAUAUAGUAACACGAUUAUUACUUCUAAUGA